rnacentral:rRNA from 1 species
GACGAACGCUGGCGGCGUACUUAACACAUGCAAGUCGAGCGGUAAGGCUCCUUCGGGAGUACACGAGCGGCGAACGGGUGAGUAACACGUGAGCAAUCUGCCCUUCACUUUGGGAUAACUUCCGGAAACGGAAGCUAAUACCGAAUACGACCAUCACAGACAUCUGUUGAUGGUGGAAAGUUCCGGCGGUGAAGGAUGAGCUCGCGGCCUAUCAGCUUGUUGGUGAGGUAACGGCCCACCAAGGCGACGACGGGUAGCCGGCCUGAGAGGGUGACCGGCCACACUGGGACUGAGACACGGCCCAGACUCCUACGGGAGGCAGCAGUGGGGAAUAUUGGACAAUGGGCGAAAGCCUGAUCCAGCAACGCCGCGUGAGGGAUGACGGCCUC